ensembl:lncRNA
CACACACACACACACACACACACACACACACACGCGGCCACACAAAGGAUGUAAUUAUCUAACUUGCACACGGAACGGCUUUAACGGGCUGAGCGCCGUCGAACCCCCCCGACCUGGAACAGGAACAGUGGAAGUCUGACACGUUAUACAAGAGGUCGUGACCUUGUGAUGGAAUGGAUGAGGUCAUCUUAAGCUCCAGGAGAGAUUUUCUUCUUCUUCUCCUUCAGCUGCAGGAGCUUCCAGCAGCACGAAGGCUGAUUGAGAGCAGCUUCUCCCGCGUCGAACAAAUAAACUCAACAACAACACAGGUUCUUUUGCCUGUGAGUUUGGUGUUUAUCUGAACCCUGAGAUGAUCCAGAACGACCAGACAAGAAAACAACAUGCAUUUGUACAAAGUUCUACUAUAUUUUGCAUUAAUAAUCUUAAUCUACAGUGUUCGAAGCUCUAAAUAAAUCGUAGCGGAGAUGAAAGCGGUACUCGGGUAAACGUACCUGGUUAACCAGCCGGAUUGUGGCCCUGCAGAGCGCCGCUAUCCGUGGUGCUGACGCGCAGCGCAUCACCCCAAGCUCACCUGCAGGACUUACACACAUUACAGUCUUUUCUUCGCACUAAUCCCUGUGGCACUGGCGUGUUUCCUUUCCAACAUGCUUCAUGUACGCACGUAAAUUAUCUUUGAUUCUCUGCGUUUAUGAAUAUAUAACGUUGAGUUGUGUUUAUUUCAAAGUGUGUUUUUCUCUGUGUGUUGUAAAUGUACUUUUACUGCGUUUUGCUGUAUAAUAAUAAAUGAAAUUGAAAAAGAAUUUCAUGUUUUUUGGAGUCUUACUUUUUAGAAUUUGAGUGCAGUUUUAGAGUUGAAAAGAUUUCGCAAUGACAGUUUACUAGUGACUGGAACCGGACUUAAAAAGACACUAAAAUGUGUUGAAAAGCACCUAAAAAAGCAUUAAUAGUACUUUGAUAAACGCAACAAAGCUGUAAGAAAUGCAUCAACACACUAUAUGCUAAUUGAAGUAAGAUAUCCUUCAAAAAAUGGAAGGAUAUCUUACUUCUCUUCUUUCAGUCCUUUCCUUAAAUUGCUCGAGGAAAUGUAAGAACUGAACUUUUAAACCUCCAGACAAAGAUUGUGUGAUACGAUCAAAAUCCACAGUAAUCAGAUCGACGUUGUGCAAGAAAGGAAAUGUACGCACCAUCUUCUACACAAAGUGCAAAGUGUUAACACAACGCCGGCGUGUGUUUGCUCUCCGCUAGGCGGCGCCAUCGGGCCGGCGCACAGAGGGAGUCCGGCGCUCUCUCCCGGAGGGAGAGGGGAAGAGGAAGCAUAAAUCCCGCUGGUUCCUUAUCGUGUGCCCGAGGGUGUGAAGGAGGGAGGAAACGAGGAGGGAGGAGGCAGAUAGCGGCGGCGCUGAGGAGACGGGGUUGGAAAAAGAAAGGCUGAAAGGUGGAGGUUUAAAAACGAACAGGAGGGAAAAAAACAACAGCAGCAGAGAAGAAAAAGGAGAACGUGGAGCAGAGAAUUAUCUAGAAACGCGUUUAGGUCUGAAUGACCUCUGAGUGAUGGGGGAGACAGGUGGAAGUAGACGGAGGGGAGUGAUGGGGGAGACAGGUGGACGUAGAUGGAAGGGAGUGAUGGGGGAGACAGGUGGACGUAGAUGGAAGGGAGUGAUGGGGGAGUAAGGAGGAAGUAGACGGACGGGAGUGAUGGGGGAGACAGGAGGAAGUAGACGGAGGGGAGUGAUGGGGGAGACAGGAGGAAGUAGACGUAGGGGAGUGAUGGGGGAGACAGGAGGAAGUAGACUGAGGGGAGUGAUGGGGGAGACAGGAGGAAGUAGACGUAGGGGAGUGAUGUGGGAGACAGGAGGAAGUAGACGGAGGGGAGUGAUGGGGGAGACAGGAGGAAGUAGACGGAGGGGAGUGAUGGGGGAGACAGGUAGACGUAGACGGAGGGGAGUGAUGGGGGAGACAGGUGGACGUAGAUGGAAGGGAGUGAUGGGGGAGUAAGGAGGAAGUAGACGGACGGGAGUGAUGGGGGAGACAGGAGGAAGUAGACGUAGGGGAGUGAUGUGGGAGACAGG